rnacentral:lncRNA from 1 species
CUCUCUAAAUCUAUAAUUAAAAUACAACUAUUUUUUUUUUAUGCGAAUAGGUUAUAGGAAUAUGACCAUCUUAUGAAGUGUUCGGACUAAACUGCAAACCAUUUACGUUUCCAUCCAAAUUAACAGAAUGCGCAAUAAAACACAAUUUGAGAGUCGAAGAGAAAAAGGUCUGAAUCAAAGUCAAACACCAAAACCAUAAAAUCCCCCAAUAAUUACCCUUUCGUUAUCUUCCUCUUCCUCCAACCAACUAAAAUGACCUCAAUCUUAUAACUCAUCCCCCCACCACCUACGUCAGAAUGUACAACAACCAAUCGCCAACAUAGCCACUUCCAAACUUCAACUUCAUCACUGGCGUAUCAUAAUACACUACAACAAAAGGUCCAUUACCAACAAAAUGAUUUUCUCUCCUCUCCAAACGACCUUAUUCAGUGUUAACAACUUGCCCGACAAACAAUAUGUCGUCACCUGAUCGUAAGCGACAAACUUAUGUCGUUGAAAGUGUCCUCUGACAAAAAUUUUAUUUCGCCGUUUAAUAAAACUUUCUAGCAAUAAAGAUCAUGUCCUUGUCGAAUAUAAUAGUUUAGCGGUAAAAUAUUUCAUAACCCACAUAAUAUAAUUUCCUCGCCUUAGGUCACGUUUCGUCACUAAAUAAUUUAAAAUUUUAUUAAUUAUUUUUUUUGUAAAAUAAUAGGUGACAAAAAUUUCGUCACUAAAGGCAGUUUGCAGAAGCAAAAGACGACGAAAUAUUUCCUCGCUAAAGAUCUUCUCACGCCAUAAAUGCCUAGAAUUCGCCAUGGGCCUUACUCUCGUGAUCUGAUUAGUUCAGCUUUUAAGCUCCUAUGCAUAGAUAGACUUGGGGAAAAGAUCAAAUUGAUUUCGUAACCAUAGCCACGUAUUUUUGUGAAAUACUAUUUAGAAAAAUGAAUGAUAAGUGUAAGUUUGAAUGUUGACCGUCCUAUUUUUUUAGACAAUUCUAAUGAAAUUAUAUGGCUAUAAUUAUUAAGUCAACUUAAUUUUUGCUUUUUUGUAUGGAUGAUCUAUGUUCAUAGAUUUAAAAAAUGAACUCAUUAUAUUAUUGAAGAUGGACUCUGGUGAGUCCCAUGAAACCGAAACAUGUGGUAUGAUGCAAUCCACAUACAAGUCAUUUAUUUUCCGUUUAUAUUUAUAUUAAUUUUUAAAUUUUUGGGUGUAUUUUUUAAUUUAGGGAUGGGCAUUCUAGGAGUCGAGCUCGCACUACAUACUUAGAGGCUUUUGGUCUGCCCAAGUCAGGACUAGCUGGAUAUGGCCAAAUAUAGAAUUGCCAACUCUAGUCCUAAAAACUUUUAUAUUCCCAAGCCCACCCAUUAAAUUCACUUGUUCAAACUCUUAAAUGUUAAAUAUAUUUAACCAUUUAUAUUAUAUUAAUUCUAAUUUUCUUUUUAAACUUAAGUAUAUCUUCGUAUUUUGUACUACUUUUAGGAAAACCUAAAGAACCAAAUGCUUCAUUGAAAUUUUGCUAUUAUCUCUGUACAAACCACAUAAUUCCCCUUUCACUUAAUAAAAGUAUGGUUUUAAUUAAAAUAAAAUUAUUUUUUAUAUUUAAAAUAAAUUCCCCUUUCAUAACACGAUUUUACAAUUAGUAUAUUUUUUAUAUGAAAUGAUAUGAUAAAUUUGUACCUAAUUAUUUUAAAUUAAAAAAUCCUUUAAAGAGAGUAUUAUUUUAAUUUCUGAUAUGAGGCAAUCAUAGAAAAUAUGAAGAAAAAAAAAAAGUGUGUUAAACAAACACCCAUAUCAUUGUAAAACAAACAAGUACAUAUGAGAUCGCCAAGAUAGUAUCCGACUUAGUCCGAUUGGAUUUGUUUAUCCAACUGAAAUCCGACUGGAUUUCUAAUCCGUCAAAUUCAAUCUCCAAAACAAACAUGUCCCUCGUUGAAUUCGCACUACAUACUUAGAGGCUUUUGGUCUGCCCAAGUCAGGACUAGCUGGAUAUGGCCAAAUAUAGAAUUGCCAACUCUAGUCCUAAAAACUUUUAUAUUCCAAGCACACCCAUUAAAUUCACUUAUUCAAACUUUUAAAUGUUAAAUAUAUUUAACCAUUUACAUUAUAUUAAUUCUAAUUUUCUCUUUAAACUUGAGUAUAUCUUCGUAUUUUGUACUACUUUUAGGAAAACCUAAAGAACCAAAUGCUUCAUUGAAAUUUUGCUAUUAUCUUGUUACAAAACACAUAAUUCCCCUUACUUAAAUAAAACGUGUAUGGUUUUUAAUUAAAUAAAAAUUAUUUUUUAUAUUUAAAAUAAAUUCCCUUUAUCAACACGGAUUUUACAAUUAGUAUAUUUUGUAUAUGAAAUGAUAGAUAAUGGUUACCUAUUAUUUUAAAUUAAAAAAUCUUAAAGAGAGUAUUAUUUUAAAAAUGAUGAUAUGAGGGCAAUCAUAGAAAAUAUUGAAGAAACAAAAAGUGUUUACACCCAACACCCAUAUCCAUGUAAAACAAACAAGUACAUAUGUGAGAUUUACAAGAUAGU